rnacentral:rRNA from 1 species
UAACACUGGGUAACCUGCCUUAUGAGGGGGAGUAACAGAGAGAAAUCACUGCUAAUACCGCAUAAGCACACAGUACCGCAUGGUACAGGGUGAAAAGAUUUAUCGCCAUAAGAUGGACCCGCGUCUGAUUAGCCAGUUGGCAGGGUAAAAGCCUACCAAAGCAACGAUCAGUAGCCGAUCUGAGAGGAUGACCGGCCACAUUGAGACUGAGACACGGCCCAA